rnacentral:lncRNA from 1 species
UUUUGCGUAGAAGAAGAAGAAGGAGAAGAUCCGCCAUUGUUAGCUCUGUUUUGAGAUUUACAGUUUUUGAACAUUUGUGGAGCAGAGGUGCACCAUGGCUUGCCACAAUGUCACAAUGGGUUCUUGGAGAGCCGCUGCUGUUGACUUGCUGCAUGUCUCCUCUCUGCGGCAAAACUCCACAAAUACUCCACUCACCAAGUUCCAGAGGGAGAGGAUCACCAGCCACCACCGGCCGUACUAAAGGAAGUGGCUCUAUGUAGGGAUGGAACAUAGCAAC